UACGUAGGGGCAAGCGUUGUUCGGAAUUACUGGGCGUAAAGGGCGCGUAGGCGGCCCUGCUAAGUCGAACGUGAAAUCCCCGAGCUCAACUCGGGAACUGCGUCCGAUACUGGCGGGCUUGAAUCCGGGAGAGGAUGCGGAAUUCCAGGUGUAGCGGUGAAAUGCGUAGAUAUCUGGAGGAACACCGGUGGCGAAGGCGGCAUCCUGGACCGGCAUUGACGCUGAGGCGCGAAAGCUAGGGGAGCAAACAGG
rnacentral:rRNA from 1 species